AGUGAACGCUGGCGGUAGGCCUAACACAUGCAAGUCGAACGGCAGCACAGUAAGAGCUUGCUCUUACGGGUGGCGAGUGGCGGACGGGUGAGGAAUACAUCGGAUUCUACUUUUUCGUGGGGGAUAACGUAGGGAAACUUACGCUAAUACCGCAUACGACCUACGGGUGAAAUCAGGGGAUCUUCGGACUUUUCGCGACUGAAUGAGCCGAUGUCGGAUUAGGUAGUUGGCGGGGUAAAGGCCCACCAAGGCGACGAUCCGUAGCUUGUCUGAGAGGAUGAUCAGCCACCCUGGAACUGAGCAACGGUCCAGACUCCUACGGGAGGCAGCAGUGGGGAAUAUUGGACAAUGGGCGAAAGCCUGAUCCAGCCAUACCGCGUGGGUGAAGAAGGCCUUCGAGUUGUAAAGCCCUUUUGUUGGGAAAGAAAAGCAGCAGGUUAAUACCCCGCUGUUCUGACGGUACCCAAAGAAUAGGCACCGGCUAACUUCGU
rnacentral:rRNA from 1 species